CCCGCCCAUCUAGUGACAACACAACACUUGAUUGGUAAAAUCCAACAUACCAGUAAUUAUCACAAAAGAAUCAAUAAAUUGGUGACAAUAGAAACAUAUUAAUACAUUUAGAAAAGAAAAAGUUGUCAGGUGACACAAUAGGAGUCAGAUCUAAUGUUUUAGCAGAAUUCAGCGCUGAUCUAGAAAACAAUUGAAUGAGCAAUAUUCAUUAAGUCCAUUGGGGGAAAUUGUGCCAAGGGUUUUAAUCCAAAAGGAUUCACGUUGCAGUUUCCUGCUGAUAGGAGCAACCAGGGUCGGACUGAGGCCUCCAGGGUCUGUCCCAUUCCCUUCACCCUUGGAACAGACAGGGGAGCGGGUCCUGGGGCCACUGGCCCACUCUCACACUGGGAGCACUGGCUGGAGUAUCAGUACAUUGUCAGAUAAUCGGCAGUGAUAUCUGUACGUAUAUCUGUCCUGCCCUCACUGACAACAGACGGAUCUGGAAACGGUUUCAUUCAAAUCAUCUGUCUACUCGGGAGUGGGCUAUUACCUUGAAUGGACAGUACCAUAUGACAGAUAAGCCAAUUGUCUAUACUAUACAGACUCUGUAUGUAAGAAAUAUAAAGUAAAGGUCUAUGAUGGAUACAUUUGUAUUAAAAUAAUAUGUGCAGAAUGAAACAUUGUUAUAUGUUUUAAUGAUACUAUGUUAUAAUAUGGUCUGACACUAGGUGGCGGUGUAUUUUAGGCUAUUUAAAGCCAUGUGGUUAUUGAAUUUUAUGCUUGACAAAGAGUGGAGUGCCACUCGAAACGUUGCACUGUGUUGCUAUGCUGCUAUGCAAUGCUUUGCAAACAAUAAAGGCGGUCUUAAUGAAAAA